rnacentral:rRNA from 1 species
UACGUAGGGUGCGAGCGUUGUCCGGAAUUAUUGGGCGUAAAGGGCUCGUAGGCGGUUUGUCGCGUCGGGAGUGAAAACCUCGGGCUUAACUCGGGGCUUGCUUUCGAUACGGGCAGACUAGAGGUAUGCAGGGGAGAACGGAAUUCCUGGUGUAGCGGUGAAAUGCGCAGAUAUCAGGAGGAACACCGGUGGCGAAGGCGGUUCUCUGGGCAUGAUCUGACGCUGAGACGCGAAAGCGUGGGGAGCGAACCGG